AGUCAGACCAGAAUCUUUUAAUAGGAAAUUCACAGUCAGAGACUGUAAUGGUGGCUGAAUUAGACCAAAAGGGAUACAUUAAUUCAUAGAAGCAUGACUGCACUGAUUCGUACACGCUUUUUUCUUUCUGCCCACCAUCCUAAGUUCAUCCUGAAAAACAUGGCACUCAAGAGCAUUCUCCCAAGUUCCUGCUUUGCAGGUUGGUUUGUAAAAGCUCUAAGCAGCCGUUUUGCCUGUAGGAAAAAACAAAACCCUGCCUGGACUUCACAGAAUCGGGAAGACGCGGCGAGAUUAGGCGCUAGCACAAAAGCGGUACUUGUGCGCUUCAGUGAUUCUUUCGUCCUCAGCCUGAGGGUGGGAGCGCUCUGGUUAGCGUAUUUUGGAGGCACGGAGAUCUUCGUAGAACUGCCCCCCUGUAACUCUUAGGCCUUAGAAAAGCAGGUGAAGGGCAGGACGAUGAAAUUCAAACUAUGACUGCCAAGUAGCCGAGAAGCUGCCGGGAAACACCUCGCAAACCGUGCGGCCCCGGAGCCGCUGCUUCCCUUUUAACCUCCUGCGGUCCAGCCUCGCGCAGAAGCCCGCCGGAAAUGCUCGUAGGAGCCCGCCGGAAGUGUAAUAUGACACCGCGCAGUCAGAUCCCUCCGCGAGCGCGGCUUCGUCUCCAGGUGCGCAGUUUCCUUUUCUAGCACCAACUCGCCAGCGUCAUCCGCGGUCGGCUCCGGCUUCCUUGGCCACCAGUACCGGCGAUGCCGCCCGCCGGCGCUCUGGCCUAGGUCUGGCCUAGUCCCAGGAGGGCUGCCUGCGGCGCCGCCAGGACCCGCCCCCAGCCUGUACGCACUUCCUGCGACGCCGGCGGGGCACGGAGCGGCGCGGGAGCGAGUGCGGCGGCGUGGCUGCGGGCAUAGAUGCACUGGCGGUCAUGCUGCGGCACCUCCUGACCCAGAACCAUGCCCUGCGCAGGGAGAACAGCGAGCUCAUGGAGCAGGUGCGGCAGCUGCUCUGUUUGAAAGCCAACCUGCCGGCCCAGAACCUCCUGGAUUUCAGAAGUAUCUUCUGUUUUUGAGUCUUCACUAAUGCCUGGGGAAUGAUCCCCAAAAAGCAAUGAUUCUUCCCAUCUGUAGGCAUUUUUAAUGUGGAGCUUCUUAAACUUGCAUACCAGUUCCAGGUUCUCCAUGUCUGUGGCUUCUGAUUGAAGCACAUCCAUGAUGGGACUAGUGGACAGACGAUGGGCCCAUAGACCUGAGGACGCAUAGGGGAGGAUCCAUCAUAUGAAUAACCAGAACUAUUUAAAAGAUAAUAAAUUCCACCAACUUUGCUAAAGAUAAAA